UGCUUUGGUGUGGCAGUAUCAUAACCAAUGAAGUUAAUCUGAGGUGUGAUUAUUGCCAGUUGAAAACUUUUCCCAAUACCCUGCUAUGCCACCAAAUCUUAUCCCGGCUUAGCUGCUGUGUGCAACAAGCCCUUG
rnacentral:snRNA from 1 species